rnacentral:rRNA from 1 species
UACGUAGGUGGCAAGCGUUGUCCGGAUUUAUUGGGUUUAAAGGGUGCGUAGGCGGUCUAUUAAGUCAGUGCUGAAAUAUCCCCGGCUUAACCGGGAGGGUGGCAUUGAUACUGAUGGACUUGAGUAGAGUCGAGGUAGGCGGAAUUGACGGUGUAGCGGUGAAAUGCUUAGAUAUCGUCAAGAACACCGAUAGUGUAGACAGCUUACUAGGCUCAAACUGACGCUGAGGCACGAAAGUGUGGGGAUCAAACAGG